GAUGAACGCUGGUGGCGUGCCUAAUACAUGCCAGUCGAGCGAACGGACGAGAAGCUUGCUUCUCUGAUGUUAGCGGCGGACGGGUGAGUAACACGUGGAUAACCUACCUAUAAGACUGGGAUAACUUCGGGAAACCGUAGCUAAUACCGGAUAAUAUUUUGAACCGCAUGGUUCAAAAGUGAAAGACGGUCUUGCUGUCACUUAUAGAUGGAUCCGCGCUGCAUUAGCUAGUUGGUAAGGUAACGGCUUACCAAGGCAACGAUGCAUAGCCGACCUGAGAGGGUGAUCGGCCACACUGGAACUGAGACACGGUCCAGACUCCUACGGGAGGCAGCAGUAGGGAAUCUUCCGCAAUGGGCGAAAGCCUGACGGAGCAACGCCGCGUGAGUGAUGAAGGUCUUCGGAUCGUAAAACUCUGUUAUUAGGGAAGAACAUAUGUGUAAGUAACUGUGCACAUCUUGACGGUACCUAAUCAGAAAGCCACGGCUAACUACGUG
rnacentral:rRNA from 1 species